GACGAACGCUGGCGGCGUGCUUAACACAUGCAAGUCGAACGGAAAGGCCCUGCUUUUGUGGGGUGCUCGAGUGGCGAACGGGUGAGUAACACGUGAGUAACCUGCCCUUGACUUUGGGAUAACUUCAGGAAACUGGGGCUAAUACCGGAUAGGAGCUCCUGCUGCAUGGUGGGGGUUGGAAAGUUUCGGCGGUUGGGGAUGGACUCGCGGCUUAUCAGCUUGUUGGUGGGGUAGUGGCUUACCAAGGCUUUGACGGGUAGCCGGCCUGAGAGGGUGACCGGCCACAUUGGGACUGAGGUACGGCCCAGACGCCUACGGGAGGCAGCAGUGGGGAAUAUGGCGCAAUGGGCGGAAGCCUGAUGCAGCAACGCCGCAUGCGGGAUGACGGCCUUCGGGUGGUAAACCGCUUUGGCCUGUGACGAAGCGGGAGUGACGGUAAUGGGUAAAGAAGCACCGGCUAACUACGUG
rnacentral:rRNA from 1 species